CUGUUCGAGCGUCAUUUCACCAUUCAAGCCUGGGCUUGGUGUUGGGCGACGUCCCCUUUGGGACGCGCUUUGAACGCUCGGCGGCGUGGCACCGGCUUUAAGCGUAGCAGAAUCUUUCGCUUUGAAAGUCGGGGCACCGUCUGCCGGAAGACCUACUCAAGGUUGACCUCGGAUCAGGUAGGGAUACCCGCUGAACUUAA
rnacentral:misc_RNA from 1 species